GGUCACAACAGUGAGAGGCCCGCAUACCAAAAAAAAAAAAAAAAAAAGAAGUCCCAGGAAUAGUUCUUGGUAUGCAUAGAGGUCACAGAUAAAGAACAGGCCUGGCACUGCACAAUUGAUAUGAUCUAUAUGUAAAGAGUUGAAAGUGUAUGUCUUUUUCCCUGAAUCAUUAUGACAAACAGUGAUAAGGAUUUCAGUCGACACUUUGUAGCCUGCUUUUCCUGAAUGAAGAUAUAUUUUUCUUUUCUAUUUUUCACGAGAUGUUGCAUUAGGAAUAAGUAUCAAGUGAGGAGGUAUUUCUACCAUGGGGAUAGUUUAAUGGGAUUUCUUGGUAAGCUUGGUAAGUAUUUUUAUUUCCUCUUUGCAUGGGUUAUGAAAGUACCAUAGACACUCAGGAUUAUUUUAAAAGGUGAUUGGGUUGAUUUUUCUCUCUGGAUAAAAUAUUGGCUGUGUGUAAUUCUAUAUAAUUAUAACAACCAGCCUGAAUGUCUGGGUUGGGAGAUAAUCAUUGUAAGUAUAAAGGAGAUGUUCAGAUCAUACUCUUGACGGGCUGUUUGCUAGUGUUAAGCAGAGGUAUUCCUAUGAUUUGAGUGACCCCUGGAGUUGGAAAUGGGUAACAGGCCCAGCAAGAGGUCAGGUUAGUAGAUGAGGAAACAUUCUUAGAAACAAGGUGAGGAAGUAAUAUAUUUUGUUUCAGAAAAGGGAGGGGAAAAUGAAGAAAAGUAGAGUCAUAGAAAACACAGAGAAGGAAAUCAGUAGUCCAUAGUGACAUAUUAACAAUCUUACAAGGAAGGCAGUAGGUUUGAUUGGAUAUAAUAAAGUUCUAGUUUUGUUUCAUUGUCUUGGGUGGAAUUUGCACUUCUGAAGUUGUCUGCUUGAUCAGAAAGGUCUCCGAUAACCUGUUUGUGCCUUGAAGCCAUCUGCUUCUGGAGGCUUCUUUGGUUAGCCUCAACUUGCAGUCUGUCAUGGGAGUGAACGUCCAUUGGUCUGAGUUGGAAGUUCCUUUUCAUUGUGACAUAUUACACCCUGGGUAGACUUCUGUAGCUGUUGUCAAGAGGACCUGAAAUGGCUCCUUUCAGUAAUUUAAAGCAUUUUUGCAUCUAUAUCACUUAGUAUUUUCUGCAAAACAAACCACCCCCAGACUAGGUGGCUUAAAACAACCAUUUAUUUAUUUAUGAUUCUGUGGAGCAAUUUGGCUGGGAUCAGCUGGGAUAGCUUUGCUCUGCUCUGCUCCUCAUGGUGUUGUCUGGCCUUAUACGCGCAUUAUAGUCCGCUGAUAGUUGAUGGUCUCAUUCACACAUCUGGCGGUUGCUGGCUGUUGGCAGGGCAACGGAGGUAACUGGGCCCAUCAUCUAGCAGGCUAGCCUGAGCUCAUUCACGUGAUAUUGGUUGAGAGUUCCUAAGAGCAGCAAGAGAGGGCAAACUCCAAUGUGCGAGCAGUUUUCAAACCUCUGCUUGGGUCAUGUUGUUAAUGCCUUGUUGGCCAAAGCAAGUCAUUUCCAAGCCCAGACUCAAAGAAUAGAGAAAUAGUCUCCAUCUCCUUAUGGAAAGAUCUGCAGUCACAUACAAAGAAGCAUGCAUAUGGGAUGGGAAGAAUUUGUGGCCAUUUUUGCAAUUAAACACACACUGAUAUCUUUUCUGGUGAAGCUGGUCACUGAGCUAGGAGUCAUACAAAGAUGUGGAUGAUGUCUCUUUUGGAAAGGUGGCUUGUGCAUGUUGAGCAUAAGACAGUACACUAGAUUGACUUCUUACAGUAUUCAGCUAGAUCUGCAUGCAACAAAAUAGAGUGAUUGGUGGCAUUUUUCCCAAUCACAUAGGAUAUCCUGUAAUGAUGUCCUAUGGAAAACAAUCUGUAUGAGCUCUGAGGAGGUGAUCAUGUGGCCGUUAACGAUACUGACAAAACAUUAGACUAAGGCAGAUUAAGGAUUUUUGAUAGUUUAGGAGUCAGCAAAUUUUCUCAGUGAAGGGCCAGAUAGUAAAUUUUAUAUCGGCUUUGAAGGCCAAAUAUAAUCUCUGUCACAUAUUCCAUAUUCUCUUCCUCCUCCUUUUUUCUUUUUAAACAAAAUUUUAAAAUACGUAAGAAACACUUUUUUAGCUUGUGGACCGUAUGAAGAGUCUGUAGGCCAGAUCUGUCCCAUGGGCUGUAGUUUGCCAACCCCUGAUUGGGACAAUUUUAUCUUCAGUGUCUCAUUUAUUCUUUCUACCUUUCCUGCAUGGGGAGUACAGUUUUUAUGUUAGGAGAGAAACCCUGCAGAGUUCCUAUAUGAUUGUUACAGUGAAAUGAAUUCCACAGUCACUGGGUAGGAAAGUAGGCAUUCCCCAUGCUAGGAACACAAAGUCUAACAACUGUAACAUCUGUAGCUUCUCAUCAAGGAAUGGGUUUUUCCAUCCUGAAAACUUACAGACUACUGAUAGUAAAUAUAGCCUAGAGACGUGGGUAGUUGUAUAAAAUCGGUUACUAAAUGUUCAAAGGGCCUUGAGAAGGAGUUUCUGUAUUUUGUCUUGACCCUCUCGGGUUUACCUGGGUUAUGUUAGCACAGGUAAGAUGUAAUUUUACCACUUCCUAGUCAAACUUUGAAAAUUUUUCCAUUAUUUAUCUACUGUGGAACUUGAUUUGUUCCUGAUGUAGAAAAUCAUGGGAAAUUUAAUUAGCAUCCACUGCUUGGAUCGUGGUACUCCCGAGCAGUUGUCAGGAGAUUCUCAGAACCCAUCUUUAUGGAGAAAAUGUCCCUGUAAUUGCCAAUAUUGUUUUUCAGAAGUUUGGGUUGACUGUUAUGAGCCAAUUAUAGCGAGUCUAAACUGAGCCAGUUUUCCUUCCCAGUUUGGUGGGGAUACAUGUCAAUUUGGUAGAACUCAUAGUUGGGGUAAUAAAAGCUGCUUGUUAGAAUGUGAGUUAGCAAGGGCAUUCAUUGGUUUCCGGAAGAAGGUAUUGUCUAUGAGUAUCUCCCUUAACUGACAGGUGUUUUUCAAUAUCGAAUAGCUUUUAGUGAAUCAUUAAUAUCCUUACCAUUUUCAUUAAGGUAUCUUAAGAAACCAAAAAUCCCCUUUUUUUCCCAUAGCAUCCCAAAGUUAUGAACAAUUCCAAAUUCAUAUAUAUCUGUUUAAUGUUUACCAUUUCUCCAUUUGCCAGAGUGCAAGUCAGAGAAAUCAGUUCAUUCACAUGGGCAGAUUGAACAUUAGGCAAAAUGGAGCACUUUGGUAGCUGCAUGUUCAGUGGUGGCAGUGUAUCCUGCUCAGGAAGUGCCUUUAUCCUUUCUAAGAUAAGAGCCAUCUACAAACAGACUUAAAUUAGAAUUGACUAAGAUUUGACCUGGGCAUUCUUAUGUAUAUAGUUUUUGCUUUUUCCUGAAGUAUAUAAUUUACACAGAAAAUUGCUCAUCCUGAAGAGCUCAGUGAAUUUUCACACGUGUAUACAUACCUGUGUAACUACCUCCCAGCUGGAAAUAGAACAUUUCCUAGCACUUCAGAAGGUUCCUUUGUGCCCCCUUCCCAGUUAAAACAUACCCCUUCUUGUCCAGAGGUAACCACCUUUCUGACUUCUACCACCAUCAGUUAGUUUUGCUUGUUCUUGAAUUUCGUGUAAGUGGAAUCAUACAGUGGAUAGUCAUUUCCUUUUGUCUGCUUUUGUGCAGUAUAAUGUCUCUGAGUUCAUCAAUAGUUUGUUAUAUUUAUUGUCAUGUGGCAUUCCAUUGUAUAUAUAUUCCACAAUUAAUUUAUUUAUUCUCCUUUUGACGGACACUUGAGCUAUUGCUACUCUUAAUUCUGAAUAAAGCUGCUAUGAAUAUUAUUGUAUCCUGGUGGACAGAUGCACUAAUUUCUCUUGGGUAUUUUUCUAGGUAAUAGGGUAAGCAGAUGUUUAUAUUUAGUAGGAUUUAGGCAUUCUUAAUCCCCAAGAUAUCAUUAAACAGUCAUGGAUUCCUCUUCAUCUAGAAGGGGAAGUGAGUGGUGGAAUUAAAAUGUGAAUGACGUUAAGCUGCGAUACGUGAAGUGCACAGUGAAGAAUUUCCUAAGCCGUACAGCAGCUGACAGAGAAAAGCUGAGUGUUGCCUCUAAGUAUCAGGGAUUGCACAGCACAUGGAAUGCAGAGUUAGUGCAGAAGUAAGCGCUCAUCAGCCUAGAGCAGAAGCUUUGAUCAAUUAGAUGCUGCUGCCCUCAUAUGCGGGCAGGGAGGGUGGGUUGUGACUCCAGAUCAAAAGAGUUGUUCAGAUAGGCAACAGACUUCUGGUGUGAACCUCACUACUAAAUUAACACACCUAGGGCUCGCUUCGGCAGCACAUAUACUAAAUUAACACACCUAUUAGGCAACCUUGUCUUCCCUGAACGAUUAGAAGGGUUUGGCACAAUUAGGGACAUGCAAAGUAUAGAGUUGCUGUGGGGAGCUUCUACCUUAGGAAGGGUUCUGGAUUCAUGUUUUAGUACUCUUGUUUGGGCAAUCCUGAAUAUCCUCUCAGUUGUUUUUGAGUUUAGGCGCUUGAAUAUAAUGGAAUAGUUUUUAUUUUGGAGGAGGACAGAGAGUGUCUGCCUAUAGACAGAUCAUGACCAAAAUUAAGUAGUUUCAUAUUUUAUAGUUAGUUUGUAGUUACAAGUUUUCAAUUAUGUAGACCAGAAUUACAUAGAAUUGUAGCUUUUCUCUAGACGCUUUGUGUCCUUUUUCAGUCAAUUUUAUUAAGAGAUAUUUGAAGCCUUCCUGUGAACAACUCGGAUCAGGAGAACACAGCAAUAAAUUAUCUACCUGUUGUAUUAGAGUGGAUUCUCAUGGGAAAAUGGAAUCAUUAAGGUAAUUUACUUGGACACUGAGAAAAAUAUGAGGGUGAUUCCAUAAGUCCUCAAGCCCCAUGGUAUUUGCACAUGUCCUCAAGCCCCUCAAGUCCUCAAGCAAGAAAGCAACCAAUUCUUCUUAACUACUGGUUGCUAAAGAAUGCUGCACAUAUAUCCACUGCCAUAAAAUAAUUACUUGUAGAGGGAAUGGAGAACAAGGUAGUAUUUGGGUAGGAAUAUGAUGAAUCUAAGAAUCAUAAUUCUUUUGAUUUCUCUGAGGUCUUAAAUCAGUAGCAUUUCCCAUUAGGUUUAUUAAUUAGCAAUGUGAGCAUUGCAAGGACUGGUGCAGCAGAAUUAGCCCAUGUUCUUAAAAAAUGGCUUUGAAUACGAGAUCCUUCAGGUUUGAGUAAGUCUUGGGUAAUUUAGGCAGGUGUUUAUAAGGAUAGAUCUGAAUCUUAAUAGGGUCAGUAUUAAUAAGCAUAGCCCUUAGCCUUUGGAUAUGGUUCUUAUUCCUAAGCUAUGGCCCUUCUAGGAUUUCAGUGGAAUGUUCAAAUUGUUUACCGGGCUCCUCUCAAUUGGAGGGACUCUGUCUUUCCAGUAUUAGGCAACUGUUGACAUCUCUACUCAGCUCUUUCAUACUUCCAGCUGUUGCUCUCCACUGGAUCCUUGGAUUUUCACCCAGCACGUGUCAGGAGUCAGCUAAGGAUUUGAGAGUUUGUAUGAAAAUAUUGCAACCCCCAUCUGUGGCUCUCUUCUUUAUGGACUUUCCCUGACCAAUAUUCAGCCUUUCUGAGAGCCCUGAACACUGGUCCUGACUUCCAAGCCCAGCAAAACUGCCCCUUUGCUUGAGUGUAUCCUCCACACAUUGGGAAGUACCCCGGAUAAAUGUGGAUCUCAACAAGUGUGUUUUCCUUCUUUCAAGGUAUGAAUGUUCUCUUGUUCCUGCCUGUUUUUGGUUCCUCUUCAGUGCCUUCAAAUGACUGGUUUUUAUAUUUUGUCCAGAGUUUGUAAUUGUUACUGGCAGGAGGCUUAGUCUGUUAUAAAUACUUUACCAUUACUAGAAACCAGAAUAGGAGCAGCAGUAAAAUGGUGAGUGAGAGGUAGCCAGACCUUCAUUUUUUAACCUUCUCCUUCCUUCUGUCUCCCCUCUCUGCCAUCAAUCUUUCCACCACUGACCCUCACCUAGAAAGGCCCUGGACCUCAGUAAGAAGAAAGGAACAGAAUAGGCUAUUGGCAUGAAGGGGUGGCUCAAGAAUUUGGGGAAGAAAGAUGAUCUCCCUCUGCAAAGACAUCAGCUCUUUAAUCUCCUAUUUCUUGUGAGCAGGCCUACUUUGGAGGACUGAAAUCCUAAUGUAUACACAAUGGUAUUCUGCACAGAGAGGAGAGUGAGAGAAAGGCAACCUUUGCCAUGUGAUUGGACUCAGAUCUGUUUACCAGAUCAAAGCCCGUGGGUAAUGGAAACUUCAGAGGGGGAGAGGGUGGGCCCGGGGAGCAGUGCCCGCAGCAGCUACUUAGCUGAGUGCAUCAUUCUGUACGCUCUGGAGCCUGAACUGCAUGGCUUGGAAAUGCUAGCUCUCUUCAGACUUGUCACAGGAGGGUUCUGGGGCGCUGGAACUGCUCAGGGAUGCUGGAUGCUAGGAAUGUUUAUAGAGUGAAGCUGCUAGAUCACGUUCCUCUCCUAUUCUGUAGACAUCUCUUGUUUCUUAAGGGAAAAGCAACAAGUUCUUGGUUCCCCUAACAUGUGUGUAGCUAAUUUUGAAACUAUUAACAUUUCCUGAUGAUAAACUUUUUUUUUUUUUUUUUAAUAGCCAGCAGAAAUGUAUUUCUUCUAGUUCUGGAGGCUGGAAGUCUAAGAUCAGGGUGCCGGCAUAGUCAGCUCCCUCCCAUUUCUGAUCCGAUGAGGCCUGAUCUGGUGACAGCUCAUUUUGCAGACAACACAACUGGAGAAAAGCCAGGUAUGAAGUCCAGGUAGAGUCGAUGGGAUAGAGGUAGAAAGAGAUCACUAUGACGUACUUGCAAUUAUGUCUGGUGACUUCUCCUUGCAUUCUUACAUAAGCCAGAUAAGUAUGUCUUUAUUAAUGGAGAGGGGUAGUGGCAAGGGGUGGGAUGGAGGAAUGCAUUUCACAACUUUAUAUAUAUAUAUAUGUCUUCAAUUUGAAACUUCCCUUGGUUUCCAUAGCCCAGCUGCAGAAGGCCACCCAAUUAGUUAAAAAGAAAAAAGGUUUGAGAUCAUGGCUGGGUUACUUCAUGUGGACUAAAAUAGAGGAAAUGGCUACAGUUGCUUUGCCAGAGAUGUCCAACCCUGCAUUAGACUAAAAAGGCAACUUACAGCAUCGGACAACUUAAAAAGAUGUAAUAAGGGAACUGCCUACUUUCCACAUCUGUUAAGAACAUCUGGCUCUGGCCUGAGCCCUGGUAACUUUGACAGUUAGUUGGUGGCCCACAGAUUGAAAAAGAGGCAAACCCUCAACCUGUCAGCCUCGUCUGUGGAAUUUCCUGGUGGCAUAACUACCAAGCUCAAGGGCGAAAAGCAGCUGGGGCAUUUGUGCAGCUGCCCACAUUGCCUGUGCUGAGCUUACUUCCUGACGGCGGAUUUAAAAGAGAGGGGCUUUUGAAGACUCAGGUGCUGGCCUCAGAAAGCAGUACCUCUGCACCCUGCCCCAGAGGGCCCUUCACCAUGAGCAUCUUGGGGGGCGUCUAGGAGGCUUAAUCCCUCAAUUACUGCUCUCUUUCUUUUGUGGUACUGGGUUGUUGACGAGAUGUGCCCUGUGGCAGGUUGCAUUUUCCAAAGAUGGUUGUGACGACAUCCCUCAUCCCACGUGCUCGUCUGCAGUGCUACUGUCAAGAGGCAGAGGCUUCUGUCCCUGCCCUUGAAUGGAACCGGCCACAGUGACAUGCUUGCAUCCAAUAAUGUGGCAUGGAGGUGGUGACUUCUGAGGUUAGGCCAGGAAAGCCAUGCAGCUUCCUCCAGGUUUUCUCACAAGACUUGCUUUCUGGACAUCCCUCCUGAGGUGCUCUAUCCUAGAGCUGGUCGCCAUGCUGUGGGAAACCCAAGUCACAUGGAAAGGCCACACACGUGUGCUCCUGUUGACAGUGCCAGUGGAGGCUGGCCUUUGAGUCAUUUCAGCCUUGGUACCAGACAUGUACUGGAGAAAGAUGCCCAUUCCUCUGGGACAGUGCAGUCCUGCCCCACAGCACACAGCCUCGCAGGCGAAGUGCAGGCUCCUUUCAUCCCCCUCCUGAACCUGGUCAGAUAUCUUCGGCAGCUUACACACUGCACAGUUGCACACAGCGGCCCUGGAGAAGUGUAAAAGUGGUGGGACUACUCUGCAAGAGUGCAUUACAGCUCAUCUCCUCCCAGCUUCAUGGUCAGGGAUAUCACACUGGGAGCUUGAAAGUGACUGUGGUGAAGGUAUUUACACCAUGGAAAUCAUCGAAUACCUUCCGGAAAGCUGGUCAUUAAAUAUGUUACCAGACACCAUUACCACUGGUCACUGCACUUACAACCAGCUGAUACGUUAGGUCUAGCCCUGGAAAUCCUGGUAAAGCUACAAGCAGACUAAAAAGUAUCAUUCACAGCACAAGUGACGUGUAAAACUUGGAAUUGAAAAUAUAUUGGAAUGUGUUUAGGAGAACAGUCAUUUGAUUUAAACAUGAUCUAAACACAUGCUUCACACAGUCAAGUUUAGCUCGUGACAAGAGAAGAAUGGAGAUUGGAUUCUUUGCUGAGCCUAAGUAACCUGAGAUUGUCUGACGGGGACUUCCAUUAGCCCCGUGUUCACUAAAGCUUGCCACACCACCAGCAAUGGUUUGCACCUUGCCUCAGCGUCUUUGUGGAUGCCAGGUGAGGGGUGGCAGUGAUGAGCAUCCCUUCUGUGGCCACACAGAGUCCACGGCUUUUCAAGGUCUUCAGAGGAGCACUUCAGUUUUCAGGUCAACACCCCUUUUCUUCAUCAACUUUGAGUGAAAAUCGUAAUAAAACACACAACGGGUUGUAAUGGAGAAGCAGCAUACUGUAAUUUGAGAGAAGAAUUACAGAUUUUUAGAAUAAUAUUUGAUGGUGCUUUGGAAUAUUUUUAUGGUUGAACACUUAUGUCCUGGGAGCAGGACUCUGUGAGCCUACCUACUUUUACCAACUAAGCCACCCAGUUUCACUUCUAGUCUGUGGUCAGUUGUCUUCACGGUCAGUCUCCUGGCUGAGACAUAUACGCAGAGCUUCUGGUUCCAACCCUCGCAUUUUAGAGUUCAGAGAAGCGGAGGCCACAGGUAUAGGAGGGACAGAGCUGGUCCCAGAACGUGCCUCAUCCUUCUCAUUGCAGUGCCACUUCUUCCAGGCCGUGCACCACCUUUACAGGCUGCAGGACACCAGAGGACCAGGGACCAAUUGUUAGGAGAGAGGCCAGGGGACAGUUAAAAGUGAUAUUACUAUGUGGCGUUCACAGCUGCGAGGAGUGAUGGCAGCCAGAUGUAUUCAUUCGAUCCAUUCGGUGAUUAUUCAUCCAGUAACUUUCUAUGUGCUGGGGACUGGUUUAGGCACUUGGGAAACAGAAAUGAACAAAAUUGCAGAAUUCCUCAUCCUCAUGGAGGCCACAUUGUAGCAAAAGGAAAAGGAAGGGCACAGUCCUGACUGUGGCCCAGUCCUGUCCUCAACAAUGUACAUAUGUUAACUCAUUGAAUCCUCACAAUGGCCCUUUGAGGUAGGUAGGAUUGUUUUUUUGUUUGUUUUUUUUUUUGGUAGGAUUGUUAAUCACAUGUUGCAGGUAAAGAAACUAAGGAACAUGGAAUAAAAAUUAAGAAACUUGCUCAAGGUCAUGCAGCGAGUAAAUAACCAGCCUAGGAUCCAGCGCUAGCUAUUUGGCUGUGAAUUCCUGCUCUGAACCACUGCACUUGACUGCCUGAUUCAUGAGUGAGGUUAGAGCCGUGGUCUUCUUUCUUUUCUUUCUUUUUUUCUUUUUUCCUGUAAGCAGCGAAAGCCUCCCUCUUUUUAGAAAUGAACUUCCAUGUGGAGGACCAAAAAAUAAAAUAAUAAAAGUGGCCCUGUUCUGGAUGAAGAGAAUGGAGAGGGUGGGGAAUUCACAUUGUUCUCGCCGGAUGGCAGGAGCUGAUCAGUAGAUGCCUGCUUCCAGAGAGCCUCUGCUCCUCCUUGGUUCCCACCCUGUUAGACCUGGCACCCUGCACCAAGGCUUUAGAAAGAGCUGGAGUGGAUGUACGGAAAAUGGGACAACAGACACGUCUGGGUCAGCCCUGGGAGGUUAGAGGCGUUGUAGUAGUGGUGCCAGCAGAAUAACUCAGGAAUUUUCAGUCUAUACCCCGACAGUGUGUGUUCGGGGGACUCUCUCCCAUCCUUUGAGAAUAACUGAUGCUGUGGUGCUCUUCUGUGACUGAUGGCAGAGGGUCUUAUAAGGGGGAGAGUGGGAGGUUGAAGGUACACUGAAAACCCGGGGAUGCUUUUCUGCUUCUCAUCAUUCCUUCUUUUGCCUCCUGCCUUGACUAUCUCUGGCCCUGCGUGAUGGAGCCACAGACAGUGCCAGAAAGAGGCCUCACAGCUCUCGGGCUGAUGGUGUGUAUCCCUUUGAACAUCCACUGAGGUCAAGUUUUACAGACUUCUAAUGGCUACUGUGGCAGUAUCGAGGCAAUGGCCUUCUAGUGGCACCGUUAUUUCACCAUCUCUUAAAAGAGUAGAAUAAAUAUUACCCCUGCUCUUCCCAAGGAACCUGCCCAAAGUUGCCAGAUUCAAAGAUUCAAAGGGCAGUUCCUGGGGUAUUUUGUUUCCGAAAGUCCUGGAACGGAGCAGUUUAUAAAGUCAUUUUGCUAAGCCUUUCUUUUGCAGCCACUCCCAUUCCCAGCCCUCAGUAAUCAGCUGGAGGUUUGGAGAUCACUUGCCCUGGCCAGCCUGGAGGUAGCUUUUCCCCAGCUACUCCUCCAGGUUCCUUUUCACUGGCCUCUGCUUUGAAUUGUUAAUUUCCUCUCUGAAGGCACUGUCUGACUUUGUUAGCAGGUCUGACACUGUCUGGCUGCUUGCAAAGAGCAACUAGUGCCAAUAAGGUGCCAGCACUCUUCUAGGCAUGGGAGACAUAAAGGGGAAAAAAUCCUUUUUCUAACCUCAAGGUGCUCACAGUUUAGUGGGGAGACAGCCAGGUAAACACGAAAUCACACCGUGGUGUGAUAUCGUAUUGUAAUUGUCAAAGGAAGGCUGUAGUGGGAACGGGACAGAAGGAUGCCUCAUGUGCUUGGGAGAAUCAGGGAAGCCUUUCCGAGUGAGGCAACCUAGAGCUGAGACUUGGAAGGAAAGGAAGAACUUCAGGGAUAUGUACAUCAAGUUGGAAGAAAACCACUGCCACGGGCUUUGUGGCAUCACGCCACAUGCCAUAUCUAAGGCACUGACUGGGCUGUGUUACCAAAAGAGAGAGGCACUGGGUUCCUAUUCCUACUUCUCUAUAAUCAGGACAAAUCAGAAGUCUUAGUUUAGAAGUUGAUCAUUGCUUCCUUUGAAUUCUCGCCAGAACCUCCUUGAGAACCGGUGCUUUUUAAAAUUUCACUUUCCCCUUUCCCAUCCCAUCUCACCCCCAGGAACAAAUGUAAUGACUUUGCCAAUUAGCACUAAAUAAUGGGAGCUGAGUUGAACAAUGAAAGAAUAAAAUGGGAAAUAAAAAAUGGAAAUUAGCCAGCCAGAUUGGGGAGAGCCUUCAAUAUCAGGCUAAGGCAUGUGGGCUUUACUUGGUAGCAGAAGCAAGAAUCUGAUGAGACAAGUAGUAGUAGUGGAGACAAGUUGGAGCUAGAGCUAAGGUUUAGGCCGUCUUCAGUAGGCUGCAAAACAUUAGCUGAAAGCAGCCAGAUGGUAAAAACUUCUCAGUGAAGAGAGAACCCGAAAAGAAAAGAAACGAGAGCUGCACAUGUAAUCUUGAAGACACAACAGUUAGAGAGCAGACCCAGAAAAACCUGUCUUAAAGCAUUGGCUUCCACGUAUGCGGAUAUUAAUAGCACCACCCAGUCUGUCUGCUUCUAGGAGUCAUUGAAAUAAUGCAAGAAAAGUGCUUAACACAUUGCCUGGUGCAGAGCACUUAAUAAAUAUUACUCUUCAUUAUUAUUAUAGAAGAGUGAUUUUUUUUGUUUUUUGCAUUGAGAUAAGGUCAACUGAUGUACAAAUACUAAUUGUUAAUAUAUGCAUUGAUGAUUUGUUGCCCGGUAACUAUGAUUUUUGAAGUGACAAACUCAUUUCAGUGUUUGCCUUUUAAUUAAAAUGGGUACUUCGGCAUUUUAAAAUUCAUUUUUGAAGGAACCCCCUACUGAGCUGCAGCAUCUCAGGCACAGCAGGGGUAUACUACCAUUUUUAAAAAGCCAGCUAACAAUUAAUGUCAUAAUUUUAUAUUUAUCCUGCUAAUUACGGCAAAGACAAAUCCCAGUUUGUCCACGACUGUGCAAACAAACAAAGAAGGCUUAGCACCAUGAGGCAAGUUACUUGCAAAUUUGCAUAUUAAUUACUGUUUACCACCUCUGCUCCUGUGGCUGAUUACUUCUAACAAAGAGCAGACGUAUACAGUGGCUUGGAUCGUCUGAGACAACCUGAAAUGCAGCCCGCCACUCUCUGAGCGGGCUAGAAGGCUGCUGUGCUUACUAGUGGUGACAUGACCAGAAGGGAACAGUCCACACUCCUGGCUCAAGGGAUCUUUAUGUGAAGAGCCAUUAAGGUUUCUGAGAUGCAUUUUAUAAAGCAUAACAGACAACAAAAGUGAUCCUACAGAUUCUCACUCAAAUAAGACCAUCUUUGCUUUAAUGUACUUUGGAGCAGUAUUAUUCUUGAUGUGUGCUAUACAGUGUGAAAGAUAAUAUCUAUUUUUCUGUGUGUGCUUUGAAAGGUUACUCGUCCAUUAUGAUUAAACCCUGGGUACAGCACCCUGGAGUAAAAGAUUUCCUUAGACUCAUGAAUCUACUUUCUUUCCUCAGUUUUGGCGCCAGUUGCCAGGAGGACAGGGUGCUCUGGGUGGAGACACCCAAAAUCCAGUCCUGUUUUCUCCUGAUGGUGUUGAAUGGAUUGGGACAGUCUUAUGCCUGUCUAACCCGGGAAGGGACGUUUAGUGUGUAUUGGAGAAUUUUAACUUGGCUGUAAUUGGAGACAAAAACCACAUAAGUUGAUUUAAAGACACUAAGCCUGAAAGAAAUUCUUUGUGCUCACAAUUCGGAAUAAGCAAAAGCAGCCUCCUCUUGAGACAAAGUCCUGUCCAACAAAACCCCUGAUGGAGGCAAGAGAAAAAUCAAUGGAAAAAUUUUAAUGCUGACAUAAGCAUAAUAUAUUAUGCAUGAUAAUCUUCAGACUAUGAAAUCCACUUACGGGCAAACAUUUGAAAAAGCAGGGGCUGCUUUACAAGGUGACUUCAGCUUCCUGUAGUUGUGUGAAAAAUGUUCAAAGUGUAAGAACAGGACAACUCCUGUCUGUUUUUAGUCUCUGAAAGAAGAAAACAAAUACUUGUAUUGGUAAUGGCUCAAUAGCCACUCCUUAGGAAAGUCACAGUAAUAUUACAGUAAUAAUAACAGUAAUAAUAGCUAACAGCUAUCAAGUGCUUACGCUGUUCCAGGCGCUUAAUAUGCAUGAUCUCACUUAAUCCUCAAAAUGAAGAGGGUUGAAUUUUUCAUCCCCCUGAAAAUAGCUGGAGACUGAAGCUCAGAGUGAUUAAGAAACUUGCCCCAAAUCACAAAAGUAGAAAGUGGAAGAGCUGGGAUUUGAACCCAGGCAGACUGACUCUACAGGCCACCAUGCUAUGCUGCUUCUCAUUUUAUAUAUUAGGAAGCUGUAGUUUAUUUUCCUAAUGCCCCAGGUUUUGUUGUUAAGUUGGAAUUCUAUUCCAGUUUUCUGAGCUCCAAAACUCAUUAUCUUUACAUUCCUCCAUGCUACCUUCCCUAAUUAAAACAAAGCAUUAGAUUUGAAAUAUCCUAAUAUAUUAGAGCAGAGGUCAGUGAACUAACUGACCAAAUCUGCCCACUGCCUGAUUUUGUAAAUAAAGUUUUAUUGGAAUGCAGCCAUGCCCACUUGUCUAAGUGUUAUCUGUGGCUGCUUUUGUGUUACAGUUGAGUCAUUGUGAUAGUCAGUGUAAGGUCCACAGCCUAAAAUAUUUCCUGUCUGGCUGUUCACAGAAAAAGUUUGUUGACUCAUGACUUAUACAAAACAUUUCUUUUCUUUUUCCUAACUAACCUGUGGCCCAAGUCUUCAGCAGCAGCAGCUUUGAGCAAGAGAAUAGGUGAAGUGAUGACUAGCCUGGCUAACUGUGCUUAUUUUAAAUCUGAGAGUGUCUGGGGCCUCUGGGGACAAGCGAGCACAAGGACAGAGGCUUGUUAUUAGUCUUUGCUGUUUUCUCUCUACCUGUCCCAGAAUCCCAAGAAAAACUAUUCCCUCCUGUAUCCCCAGCACCUUCAGCACUGCCAGAGAUAUAGUGGAUACACAGUAGAUAAUUGUUGAAUUAAUAGUCAGAAAUAUCUUGCAAUAGACCGUGAAUUCUGUCUCCAGUCAGUCUCCAGGAUGGAGUUCAAGCGCCUUAGCCUGACAGUUGCGAUCCUGUCCCCUCCCCCUACGUAUCAUAACUCAUUUGCCUAUGCAACACUUUCUAUUUUUUCAAGACUUAACUCCUGACCAUUUGACCACUCAGGAAGGUCAGGUUUGCUAGGUGGGCCAGAUCACAGCUGGCUUUGGAAGAGGACUGAGGUGUUCAAAACGAUGCUUAUGAUAUGCAAAAGAACCUGUAGGGGGCAGAGACUAGAGGCUAAGGGAUCAAUUAGGAAUCUAUUUGAGGUGAUAAUUGUGUAGACAAGGGCAAUGAGAAUAGAGAGGAAGGGACAAAUCGGAGAGACAUUUGAAAGGAAGCAUCUUCAGGAAUUUGAUGACUUAGUGAUCUGGGGGAUGAAGAGGGAAGUGUAACAGAAUAAGAAUUUUAGUGUUAGGACUAGUAGAUUUUGUUGUCAUUGACAAAAAUAGAUACUCUCGGAAGAGAAGCAGGGUAAAGGGAGCGAGACAAAGUGUAUCUGGAAUUAAGACUGGGAUUAUCCUUCUGAUGAUACCUGUGUGGAAUAGGAUAUGUGGCAUUAGUGCCACUUUCGAGGUGAGGCCUAGAGAUUUUGACCCAGUAAGAAUUGACAAACACAACAUUGUAAAUCAACUAUACUCCAAUAAAAACUUCAAAAAUAAUAAUAAUAAAAAGAAUGGACAGGGCUUCCCUGGUGGCGCAGUG